rnacentral:lncRNA from 1 species
UGUUCUUAUCUUUUCUUUUUCGGAGUUCCAAGUUUUCUCAAGUAUCUCUUGUGAGGCUCCAUCAAAGUCUUCGCAAGGUCAUAAUCUUAUUCUUUCAUCCUUCAUAUCUUUGCAUCAUUCAUCUGUAUACGUAGGUCCUUCUUGGUGGUUCUUCAAGUAUGUGAUUCAUUCUCAAAUGUUCUUCAAGAUUGUUGGAGUGCCUCAAGUUUUCUUCUCUUGCAUUUCCAAGUGCAUUUGUUCUUCCUUUAUCCUUUGAGGUGGUAUUAUAGCAUUCUUGUUAGUGUAGGAGCCUCGAAGAGUUUUCCUUUCGAGAAUGAGAUAAUUAAACCCAGCAAUUCUAUGAUCAUGAGAUAUUUCCAAC